rnacentral:sRNA from 1 species
CCGUAGCCCUUUUGGCUGAAG